AAGGUGAUAAUUUCUUCUAUCCUUGUGAUUUUGUGACCUGAUUCAUGUUUGUGUUCUCUGAUGUAUAUGUGUUGUGAUGGUUACAAAUCUAGUUAGAUUAUUUUUAAGAUGCUUAUAUCAUAGAAAAAUAUUCUCUGUUCAAUUUUUUUUCCUCCACAUUAGCUAUUAAGGGCAUAGAAUGCAUCUAAAAUAAUUUACUAUUAGCAAUGAUGGAGAAUAUCUCCUAUCUGUAUUCAUGUAAAGACUGAAGAGAAUUGUUUUUUUAAGGUGAAAUAUCAUAUCUU
rnacentral:misc_RNA from 1 species